AUUUAUCCCACCGCUAUGCCACGACCCGACCGAGGUAAGGAAGAAGUGAAUAAAAAAAACUAGCACACACACACACAGUCCGCACUCCACACGGAGUGCCCCGAAGCGGCAGGCAAAGGUACGGAUGAACGCGCGAACUACCGGUUACCACCGCUCUCCCCCCGCACACACACACACUGUCAGCCCGUUGCCUGUAUACGUAUAGGGGUCGUACCGGGUCCAGCAGUCUAAGAAGGGGAACAAAGGAAAGGGGCAAGGGAGCGCGGGCAGCGACGCACAGAAAGAUCGCCACACAUUUUGCCGGCCAACCCAUACUGGCGCACACAGAACCGUGCCGGUUCGUUUCUCAUACUACUGUUUUCGCAAGGGGGAGAUAUUCGCAUUGAGACUGGUGGCGGUUUACAGUGACGGACAGAAAAAGGCAGCAGCCGGGACGAUCGAGAGUGAUUAAAAUUUAUUAACAAAGUGUGAAGCUUAUAUUUUUAAUGUUCCUUUUUGA